AUUGAACGCUGGCGGCAUGCUUUACACAUGCAAGUCGAACGGCAGCGCGGGCUUCGGCCUGGCGGCGAGUGGCGAACGGGUGAGUAAUGCAUCGGAACGUGCCCAGUAGUGGGGGAUAGCCCGGCGAAAGCCGGAUUAAUACCGCAUACGACCUGAGGGUGAAAGCGGGGGACCGAAAGGCCUCGCGCUAUUGGAGCGGCCGAUGUCGGAUUAGCUAGUUGGUGGGGUAAAGGCUUACCAAGGCGACGAUCCGUAGCUGGUCUGAGAGGACGACCAGCCACACUGGGACUGAGACACGGCCCAGACUCCUACGGGAGGCAGCAGUGGGGAAUUUUGGACAAUGGGGGCAACCCUGAUCCAGCCAUACCGCGUGCGGGAAGAAGGCCUUCGGGUUGUAAACCGCUUUUGUUCGGGAAGAAAUCCUCUGGGCUAAUACCCCGGGGGGAUGACGGUACCGGAAGAAUAAGCACCGGCUAACUACGUG
rnacentral:rRNA from 1 species